rnacentral:misc_RNA from 1 species
GGCCUCUCUCCCUCUCUCUUCUUUUAUCUUCUUCAUUUCUUUUUAGCCUCUGCUACUACCUUCCUUUAGGUACUGUUGGAAGCUUCAAAACAAGACAAUCAGCAAUUUCUCUUUUCACUAUCUAAUCAGCUUUAGUUCAAAGUUCAAACUCAUUCCUCUAGUUCCUCUUCUUCCUUAAAUUGAAAGCCUAUAAAUCAUAAAUUGCCUUCAAUGACCAUGAUGACAGAAUUUGCAGGCUGGUUCCUUAACUCUAUCCUACAUCAUAUUUGUGCAAGCAUGUGUGUGUGUGUGUGUGU